rnacentral:SRP_RNA from 1 species
GCUGGGCGUGGUGGCUCACGCCUGUAAUCCCAGCACUUUGGGAGGCUGAGGCAGGCGGAUCACCUGAGGUCAGGAGUUUGAGACCAGCCUGGCCAACAUGGUGAAACCCUGUCUCUA